AUGACUUUUAUUAUUAUUGAAAGGUAGGGAGAGCAAUACAUGUUCAUGUAAUAACAUGAGCUGCAGCCUGAUGAAAAUUCAUAUCCUUAAAUGCUUUUAUUAGAAAACAAACAUCAACAACCGAUGGAGGUCUGAAUAUUGUGUAAGGAACCAGAUGUUGGACAGGGAUCAUGCUGUGUCACUUUAGGAGAAGACAUUGUCAAGGCCAGGACCCCCAGCGUGCGGAGGCUGAGAGCAUGGAAUCUUCCCCAGAGUCGGCUGGACACCCGCGCACCUGACCUCGAGCCACCCCAGGGCUGAUCUGGCUGGAGCAGGGAGGGUCGACCUUUAAAUUGGCGGCAUGUGUGAUUUUGACCAGUGUGUGAGGAGCUGCGGUUUACAAAGCCCCCUCACAUAGAAGAGCUAUCGCAGUCCUCCCACCAGGAGAUGGAGUUUGCUUGUUGCCCUCACUUUGAGACAUGGAAACUGAGGCUAAAGACAUUAAAUGAUGGGCCUGAGAUGCAGUGGCCUUGCACACUGACCUAAUGUCCCAGCCUGCCUGGUGCUUUCCACCAAAACACCUUUCAGCCUGACUUUUAAAUAACUCCAAGCUUACAAACUUUAACUUCUUUUCUUAAGAUUAUUUUUAAAAUGUGUAUCUGUAUAUUUUAAACA